rnacentral:rRNA from 1 species
CAGCCGCCACGGAAUACGUAGGGUGCAAGCGUUAAUCGGAAUUACUGGGCGUAAAGCGUGCGCAGGCGGUUAUAUAAGACAGAUGUGAAAUCCCCGGGCUCAACCUGGGAACUGCAUUUGUGACUGUAUAGCUAGAGUACGGCAGAGGGGGAUGGAAUUCCGCGUGUAGCAGUGAAAUGCGUAGAUAUGCGGAGGAACACCGAUGGCGAAGGCAAUCCCCUGGGCCUGUACUGACGCUCAUGCACGAAAGCGUGGGGAGCAAACAGGAUUAGAUACCCCAGUAGUCCCUGUCUCUUAUACC